rnacentral:piRNA from 1 species
UGGGAAUGUGCUGCCAUGUCUAAUGCCA